rnacentral:rRNA from 1 species
UACGAAGGGUGCAAUCGUUAUUCGGAAUCACUGGGCGUAAAGGGUGCGUAGACGGUAUGUUAAGUUCGUCGUUAAAGACUCCGGCCUAACCGGAGCACCGCGAUGAAAACUGGCAAACUAGAGGGUGAGAGAGAGAAGUGGAAUUCCUGGAGUAGCGGUAAAAUGCGUGGAUCUCAGGAGGAACACCAAUGGCGAAGGCAGCUUCUUGGCUCAUUCCUGACGUUGAGGCACGAAAGCGUGGGGAGCAAACAGG